UCCCCUGCUUGUGCAUUCAUGGCGAAGUAAGCAUCAGUUAGAUAGAAAGAACUUGUUAACCAGCCUAUCCCAAUAUUCAGCCAAUAUACCGCCAAUUCUAGCAUCUGUCUGUUCAUCCCACGGGAAUGGUUUUGUUCGUUGAGUGGCUUGAAGAAGUUCAUCCAUUGAAAUCUCCCCCUUUGAUCUUCCCAGGGGAGCUGGUUUAUCGUAUUCAGGACAGUAAUCCAGAUCAGCAUGCAUUUUCUUGACAAAUGUUUUGAAGGUUCUGAAGUUCCUACUUUGAAGGAGUUUUUCAGAUAAUCGAAGGUAAGUCAGCCCAGCCAUUUUUAG
rnacentral:misc_RNA from 1 species